rnacentral:rRNA from 1 species
GAUGAACGCUGGCGGCGUGCCUAACACAUGCAAGUCGAGCGAUUCUCUUCGGAGAAGAGCGGCGGACGGGUGAGUAACGCGUGGGUAACCUGCCCUGUACACACGGAUAACAUACCGAAAGGUAUGCUAAUACGGGAUAACAUGAGAGAGUCGCAUGGCUUUCUUAUCAAAGCUCCGGCGGUACAGGAUGGACCCGCGUCUGAUUAGCUAGUUGGUGAGGUAAUGGCUCACCAAGGCGACGAUCAGUAGCCGACCUGAGAGGGUGAUCGGCCACAUUGGAACUGAGACACGGUCCAAACUCCUACGGGAGGCAGCAGUGGGGAAUAUUGCACAAUGGGCGAAAGCCUGAUGCAGCAACGCCGCGUGAGCGAUGAAGGCCUUCGGGUCGUAAAGCUCUGUCCUCAAGGAAGAUAAUGACGGUACUUGAGGAGGAAGCCCCGGCUAACUACGUGCCAGCCGCCGCCGUAACAC